rnacentral:lncRNA from 1 species
CUAUGCUGCCACUGAUCUGACAGGAGGUGGAGCUUAGGUGGUAAAGCUGGCUGUCUCGCCACUCACCUCCUGCUAUGCAGCCUGGUUCCUAGCAGGCUACUUACAAGUCCACACCCCUAUUAUAAAGUAUAAUUGAGCAGCAACAUCAUGGAAUCAUGGAACAAUACUUGACUUUCUAGGGGGAAGUGUGAAGGAGUGAAGAGGACAGAGAUGGGGUUUCACCAUGUUGUCCAGGCUGGUCUCGAACUCCUAAGCUGAAGCAACAUGCCUGCCUAGGCCUCCCGAAGUGCUGAGAUUACAAGAAUGAGCCACCACACCCAGCCAAGGAUUUUGACUCUUAUCCUAUGAAUAAUGAGAAGCUGCUGGAGUGUUUUAAACUAGCAAGAAAACUAACAAAGUUUGCAUGUUGGAAAAUGUGCUUGGCAAUAAGCCAUUUCCAGCUUCUGGUAAUCAUUCUAUUCUCUACUUCAAUGAGAUCAACUUCUGUGGCUCCCACAUAUGCCUGAGAACAGAUGCUGGUUACGUGAGUGUGCUCACUUUGAUUUGUGUGUGUUCCUGUACGUUAUACUUCAAUACAUUUUAUUGACAACUCCGGUUGGUGACACAGAUAUAAUUAUGCAUAAAAUAAAACAAAUAAAAUACGUACCCCACAACAAACACUACCAGUGUCCACGUGCCUAGGCUGCGCCUUGGGACUAGCCUGCUCAACCUACCACUGACACCACUGGCACCCAUGUGCAAUGUCAGGGUGCCUGAAAACUGGUCUUCCAUGAUCCACAUUCACCACCUAGGGACCUGAGCACUAGCCUGUCCAGUCUGCCACUGCUACCACAGUGUAUGCACACCCAGUCCAGCUCGCAGAGACUGGCCUGCCCAGGACAUACUACUAACACCAGUGCCUGGAUACACAAUAUAGGGGUCUUGAGAAACAUGCUCCCUGGCUCUCUUGAGAAACAUGUCCCCAGCAAAGCCUUACUACAGCCUCUACAAACAAGCACAGCCUAAGCCAUUAGGAACAUGCGGACACCACUGACAUUGAUUAUAGCCAAAGAAAUCAUACAGAAACUACACUACAGUGCCCACUAAUAACCAAAGCCAAAGUAUCUUAUCCAAGUGGCAUUAUGAAAAAAAAAAUCUACAGGAAAAAUCUGUUUCUUUAUGGAAGCUACUCAAUAAAAUUAAAAGAAGUGACGGUUACAAGAAAUGUAUGGAUGUAAAUGAAAACAUAAGAAACAUGAGAAAGCAAGGAAACAUGACACCUCCAAAGGAAUAAAAUAAUUCUUCAGUAACAGACUCCAAAUAAAAGAAAAUCUGUGAAAUGCCUGAAAAAUAAUUCAAAAUGAAGACAUUAAGGAAAAUCAGUGAGAUGCAAGAGCACACAAAUAAAAAAUACAGAUAAAUCAUGAAAACAAUUUAUAAUCAAAGAGAAAUUUAAUAGAGAUAGAUACUCUAAAAAAAGAACCAAAUAGAAACCCCAGAACUGAAGGAUUUAAUGAUUGAAACAGAAAUACGUCAUCAAGAUUGUAAACAAUAAACAGGAGCAAGAAGAAGAGAAGAUUUCUGAAUUUCAAUACAGGUCAUUUGAAAUAACCUAUUCAGAUAAAAAGAAAGAUAGAUUAAAAAAAGAAUGAAGAAAACCUAUGUGACAUAUGGAACACAAUUAAGUGAAUAGAUAUUGAUUUUUGGGAUUUCCAUAAGGAGAAGAGAUUUUCUUAAAAGUCGUAGAACCCCAAUUUAAUAAAGUAAUAGCUAAAAACUUCCCAAGUCUUAGGAAAGUGUAAACAUCCAAAUACAGAAAAUGAAAAGAUCUCCAAACAGAUCCCAGCCCAAGAAUUCCUCUCUAAGGCACAUUACAGUGAAGCUGUCGAAGUCACAGACAAAAAGAGAAUUCUAAAAACAUAUUACUGGAAGUCCUAGCAAGAGCAGUUAGGGAAGAGAAAGAAAUAAAGGGCUUCCAAAUGGGAAAUGAAAAAUUCAAGUUGUCCCUGUUAGCAGACAAUAUGAUAUUAUAUUAAGAAAACCCUAAAAACUAUAUUAAAAAACUGUUAGAACUGAUUAAAAACUCAGAUAAGUUGCAGGAUGUAAAUCAACAUUCAAAAAUCAGUAGCAUAUCCAACAAUGAACAAUUAGGAAGAAAAUAAAUAAAUCAAUCCCAUUUACAACUACAAAAAUACCUAGAAAUAAAUCUAAUCCAAGGAGUAAAAAAAAAAAAAAAAUCUCUCCAAGAAAAACUAUGAAAUGAUGAAAAAAAUUGAAGAAGGUAUACAAGAAAUGGAAAGAUGUCCCAUGUUUAUGUAUUGGAAGAAUUAAUAUUGUUAAAAUGUCCAUACUACCCAAAGCAAUCUAUAUAUUCAAUGGAAUCUCUCUCAAAAUACUAGCAUUCUUCACAGAAGCAGAAAAAAACAAUCCUAAAGUGUUUAAGGAAUCAUAAAAGACCAAAAAUAGCCAAAGCAAAUUCUGAGCAAAAUGAACAAAACCGGAGGCAUCAUGCUACCUGACUUCAAAAUAUAGUACAAACCAACAGGAACCAAAACAACAUCAUAACUAACUGGCCUAAAAACAGACAGCAAUCCCAAUAUUGGGUAUAUAUCCAAAAGAAAGGAAAUUGAUAUAUUGAGACAUCUGCACUCCCAUGUUUAUCACAG